CGAGCACCGGCGUCUAAAGGGUGCGUCCCUCGAGAGCCAAAUAUAGCACCCAUGGUCUCGCGCACUUGGCGAAAUUAUGGCGUAGCGACGCUACUUAUCGCUCCAAGUGCCGUACUUGAAAUGCAUUUGAGAAAUCUUCUUUUUGGAGUCUCUGAAAAGCCCUUUCUGUGCGUCUUGAGGCACAAGCGCGGAAAAGGAGCGAAUUUCUUUUUCUUGAUGGGUGUUGCUCUUUGUCACAAGAUUCCAAUAACUGUUUUAAUUGCGAAGCUGACAGAAAGGGAUGAUAAUAUAAUAACCAAAAUAUAACAAAAAUCAAGUUGUUGUUGUUUGUGAUAUCGAAGGAAAGGAGAAUCAGAGACUGAGAGUUCCGAACUGAAGGAAAUCUGUCUUUGAACUUGGGCGACUCCCACAUCAAGACCUACGAUUCCCAGUGGAAAACUGCACUGGCGGUGAAGUCAUCUGAAGAAUCAGGAUAAAACUUAGCCCCCGAGAUGCUCCUGAGCCCGCGAGGGACCCCGUGUUUCCUCCUGCUGCUGGUUCUGUUCGGACAUGGGAACGGGCAAAACGCAGCCACGGGUCCUCCGGCCGGGGAGGGGGGCCUGCCCGCCCCGCGACAGGACGGCGCCGGACACUCGCUCUUGGGCCUGGCGCUGCUGGUGGUCACCGUGGCGCUGUCGGGCAGCGCCUACGUCUGCGUGCUACGUUACAUCUGCCCCGACUGCCGCCUGCCCGGCGCCGUGGGGCCGGAAGAGGAGACCCUCACUGACCACGUGUAGUCGGGACUGAUCGCAGCUCUGCUGAGAGUCCGCGACGGGCCGGAUGCUCAGUGUCUCGGGAGGGUCCAGCGACCCCACCCUGCGAGCACCUCAGAUAAUGGGCUCUGUUGCGUUCGUGCGUGCGUUCAUCAGAAGUUUUUUUUUUUCUUAACGGGCUUAAGAUCCCGCCUUUCGUUCUCUGCUGCCCGCGCCUUGAGGAGGGAGAUGUGUCCGUGAGUCUCUUGUCCCUGAUUCUUGAAGGGCCUCCUGUGAUUUUCGGACGUGGACUAGCUCUGGGGAAGACAGAAACGGCUUGUCCAUCAGUAUUCAUGUUUGCGCUCCGCGUCGGAAGGCUCUUGACUCCAUAGGCUGUCUGUUUCUCCUCUGCUGUAACUGCCGCUAAUAAACGCCUAUAAGCAGCCAGUAACUGGGGACUCCAGCUGUAAAUAAUAUUGUAACAAGGGGCCUCCCUGUGGAAAGCUUAUGAGAACAACAGAACAACUGGCCCAGGGUUUGAGUGUGUGAAGUUUAACGUAACACUGGAAUACCACAGGACCUCAGUGUGUGUUCUGCUGCAGAAUGUGCUUGUAAGGCGCCUGCAGUUCAUCAGGAGUGUAGUCAUAUAAUAAGCCUUCAUGGCUCUAUGAAUGGGGGGCCUGUUGGCACGGUGGCUAGCACUGUUGCUUCGCAGUGCUGGGGCCCUGGGCUCUCUUCCUGGGGCGCUGUGUGUGUGGAGUUUGGAUGUCUCCUCCCGGUGCUCCUGUUUCCACCCACAGUCCAGAGACAUACUGGUAGGUUCACUGGGUUUUGGGAAGACUGGCGUGUGUGUUGGUGUCGGUCUGCCCUGUGAUGGACUGGCGUCCUGUCCAGGGGGUACCCUGCCUUGUGCCCGCUGCUUGCCAGUAUAGACUCUGGCUCCCCUCUGCGACCCUGUGUUGGACAAAGCCGUUAAAAAUGGCUUCACAAGAGUGAACAACAAGAUUGUAUAGCGCAGGGCAGACACACAAACACACUCGCACCAGGGCCGGUUUUCCCAGAAGCCAGUUAACCCACCAGCAUGUCUUUAGACUGGGGGGGGUGGGGGUGGAACAAGAGCUUCUGGAGAAAACCCAGGCAAACAUGAGAGGAACAUGCAAACUCCACACAGACAGUUCUGGAAUUGAACCCAGGUCCCCAGGGCUGCAAGGCUGCGAUGCCAGCCCAAUAUACAAAUGCCCACCUCUGAAAAUUAGUGAGUAAACGCCAGUAGAGGUCACUUUGGAUAAAAGCUAACAAAGAAAUAAAUGGGGUUUAAGUGGAUGACCCGUGUGCAGGUGUGGAAGGUGGGCAGUCUGAUCCCCGGGGUGGUCCAGUGACGCUGGUGAGUGGAGAAGGGGGAUCAGGCAGGGGUCCGGGCCGCCUGCUGGGAGCAGAGAGGGGGAGUGGGGGGGUGCAGGGAGAGACGGGCAGGAGCAGGGCCCGGCAAGGUCUCGGCGCGUGAACCAGAUCCCAGCGAGAAGCGCGCAGCAGUGAAACGUUGUGCUGGCCACCAGUCUUUCCCUUCGGGCCAUUUCUUUUACUGGGGAGGGUGUGCCUUGCGCACGCGGUUCACCAGUUCUAAGUGAACUCGCUGGUCCAGUCCUCUCCCUCCACUCUCACGGGAUAUUGGUGAGAAAACCUUCACAAACAUAGACUGAAAUUUCUGUUUUCAUUAUACUACUAGAUCCUGGCCAGAGCAACAUUAUAAAUAAAGGGGUUAAACA
ensembl:lincRNA